UUUCUCUUCGAGGACAUCUGAUAAAAUUGAAACGAUAUAGAAAAGAUUAGCAUAACCAUUGCGUAAGGAUGAUACAUACAAAUUGAGAUUGCUGUUUUUUU